rnacentral:rRNA from 1 species
CGGUAUAAGGUGUGGUUAGCUUUGUAUUAGGAUUUACUCCGAAAGCAAGGAAACUUACAACAAAGAGUCCCUCCCGACUGUUUACCAAAAACACAGCACUCUGCUAACUCGUAAGAGGAUGUAUAGGGUGUGACGCCUGCCCGGUGCUCGAAGGUUAAUUGAUGGGGUUAGCAUUAGCGAAGCUCUUGAUCGAAGCCCGAGUAAACGGCGGCCGUAACUAUAACGGUCCUAAGGUAGCGAAAUUCCUUGUCGGUUAAAUACCGACCUGCAUGAAUGGCGUAACGAGAUGGGAGCUGUCUCAAAGAGGGAUCCAGUGAAAUUGUAGUGGAGGUGAAAAUUCCUCCUACCCGCGGCAAGACGGAAAGACCCCGUGGACCUUUACUACAGCUUGACACUGCUACUUGGAUAAGAAUGUGCAGGAUAGGUGGGAGGCUUUGAGUAUAUGACGCCAGUUGUAUAUGAGCCAUUGUUGAGAUACCACUCUUUCUUAUUUGGGUAGCUAACCAGCUUGAGUUAUCCUCAAGUGGGACAAUGUCUGGUGGGUAGUUUGACUGGGGCGGUCGCCUCCCAAAUAAUAACGGAGGCUUACAAAGGUUGGCUCAGAACGGUUGGAAAUCGUUCGUAGAGUAUAAAGGUAUAAGCCAGCUUAACUGCAAGACAUACAAGUCAAGCAGAGACGAAAGUCGGUCUUAGUGAUCCGGUGGUUCUGUGUGGAAGGGCCAUCGCUCAAAGGAUAAAAGGUACCCCGGGGAUAACAGGCUGAUCUCCCCCAAGAGCUCACAUCGACGGGGAGGUUUGGCACCUCGAUGUCGGCUCAUCGCAUCCUGGGGCUGGAGCAGGUCCCAAGGGUAUGGCUGUUCGCCAUUUAAAGCGGUACGCGAGCUGGGUUCAGAACGUCGUGAGACAGUUCGGUCCCUAUCUGCCGUGGGCGUAAGAAGAUUGAAGAGAUUUGACCCUAGUACGAGAGGACCGGGUUGAACAAACCACUGGUGUAGCUGUUGUUCUGCCAAGAGCAUCGCAGCGUAGCUAAGUUUGGAAAGGAUAAACGCUGAAAGCAUCUAAGCGUGAAGCCAACUCUAAGAUGAAUCUUCUCUAAGCUCUCUAGAAGACUACUAGUUUGAUAGGCUGGGUGUGUAAUGGAUGAAAGUCCUUUAGCUGACCAGUACUAAUAGAGCGUUUGGCUUAUCUUUAAUAAAGCAU